GUAUGUUGCGACCACAAAUCGUGCGAUUGCUUCCGUAGAUUUGGCGUGGUCGUAGAUUGCCUGUCACGCCGCAUCCUACCGCAAACAUCUGAGCGAGAUGCCCCGUUCUUGUGACGUCUUGGGUUGCCCGAACGGUGCAGGCAACUCUGCUGUAUCGUAUCACGUAGUGCCGCGGGAUGAACCAAGACGUUCCGAAUGGCUUGCUGCCGUACCCAUGCGAAAGCGCGAGGGACGAGCGCGGCCUAAGUUGAUGGUGUGCUCGCUGCACUUCUCUCCUUGUGAUUACGUCUACGAUCCCACCCUGAGAGUGUUGCUGGGUUGCAACCAAAGGCCGGCGCUUUCCCGCACGGCUGUUCCUACGAUCGCGCCUUUGACACGCCAAGAGCUAGCCUUGUUGCAGCAGAUCGGAAGUGUUGACACGGCUAACAACGCCAGCUCAAACCCCUUUGGUGAUGACGGCUGCAACACGCACAUUGAAGAAGAUGCGGACGUACUGCCAGUGGUCAUCAAUCUUGUCGAGGGCCAGCCUUCGUCAUCAUGGUUGCAAAUGGAUGAACUCAUCAGGGCAGACAGCUGGGAUCCACCAAGUGGAGCAAUGCCUGCUGACUCAAGUGAAUGCAUGAGGUCCUCCCCACAUGAGAACUUCAAUGGGAGUGUCAGAAACACAGUGGCAGUGUCACCUAAACACAUAGAGCUUAGCUUACCGGUCUUGCCACUGGACGUCAAUAUUGUCGAAGGCCAGCCCUCAUCAUUGUGGUUGAAAAAUGAAGGAGUUACCAAGGCAGACAACUGGUGUUCCCCAAAUGGAAAGACAUCGGCCUUUGCUGCUGACAGCAGAAGAAAAGAGACACAAGAACACCCUCAACUGAAUGUCAACAAAACAAGCAAAAUAUGUCAUCGCGGUGUUGGACACAACAAAAUGGUACAGGUUUGCAUCCGUGGAAAGAGCACUGGGGCUCAGGUGAAUAUGAUUAUGAAGGAUAUUAUGAGUCAGGGUCUGCAAACUGAUAUUUCUGACAUGACGAUGUUGACAUCAGCAUCAACUCAAACAUAGUGAUGUACCUCUGAAGAGGGUGGGACCAGCAGGCUUGGCCUGACACCCUAAAAACAUGAUGCAAAGGCUUUAACAUACAGGCUUUGAGAUGUCACACCUCGGGUUGCUCCACAGAUGCAACUACUGGAUGACAGCUAAUCCUACAUGGCCUGUACCCCUCCACAUUCUGGUGCAGUAAAUCAUUUUAGGCUCAGGCAUGGAUUGCAGCUAGAAUCGGAAGUGCGAUGGACACGUCCGCAAGUUGUGAAGUCAGCCUUCUGUCAGAAUGAAUCUGAAGGGCAACAUCAACACAGCCACUGUAUUGGUGCUCCCUGGACUGCCAUUGUUGUCUUCAACUGGCAGAAAACCUACCUUCUUACCGCUAUGAGUGUGCCACUGUUUGCACCUUUUUCUGUUGUCAGGCUUGUACACAACUUGCUCGGACCAAACUUGCUACAAACUCCACCAAAUUUUACAUCUGGGCCAUACUGCAAUUAUCCAAGGCAAGCAAGCCUUAUCAAGUUCAACAAUAUUAGCGCUCUGUGUCUGGUCAAGACUGCACUCAUCAUAUGUAUAUAUGGCUUGCGAGAAUGCUGUGUUGCCUGAGCUGUGAAAUUUUAAUGUGAACCAACAAGAUUCGAGAUUGUUGCAAGACUGUAGGUGAAAGAUUUGCAAGACUCUUGUCACAAUCUGUACUGUGGAGGUUUCCUUUUACAUAUUGUCAUAUUUCUUUGAAGCUUUAUUGAUAGAAAGGUCGCCUUCUUUCACUCUUCCUUCGCUAUUUUCUUCCUUCUUAUUCAUCACUUGCUGUGGUGGCUUAGCGUCACUUAUACAGGGCUGUUGAGCACAAGGUCAGUAUUUCAGUUC
rnacentral:misc_RNA from 1 species